rnacentral:rRNA from 1 species
ACGGGAGGCAGCAGUGGGGAAUAUUGCACAAUGGGGGAAACCCUGAUGCAGCGACGCCGCGUGAGUGAAGAAGUAUUUCGGUAUGUAAAGCUCUAUCAGCAGGGAAGACAAUGACGGUACCUGACUAAGAAGCUCCGGCUAAAUACGUGCCAGCAGCCGCGGUAAUACGUAUGGAGUAAGCGUUAUCCGGAUUUACUGGGUGUAAAGGGUGUGUAGGCGGCAUGGCAAGUCAGAAGUGAAAGACCGGGGCUCAACCCCGGGGCUGCUUUUGAAACUGUCGUGCUCGAGUCCAGGAGGGGCAAGCGGAAUUCCUAGUGUAGCGGUGAAAUGCGUAGAUAUUAGGUAGAACACCAGUGACGAGGGCGGCUUGCUGGACUGGGACUGACGCUGAGGCACGAAAGCGUGGGGCGCAAACAGGAU